rnacentral:tRNA from 1 species
GGUGGCUCAGUGGUAGAGCACUGGCCUCCCAUGCUUGAGGCCCUGGGUUCGAUUCCUCAGCACCA